UACUGACCCGCUAGCCCGACCCUAGCUAAAAACAACAAGAUACAAUAACUAAACCCCUAGACACUUACACCCGAAUAAACAAAUCAUUUUAACCCCUUAGUAUGGGCGACAGAAAAGGAACACGGCGCGAUAGAGAAAGUACCGCAAGGGAAUGCUGAAAAACAAAUGAAACAAACAAGUGAAGCCUAAAAAAGCAGAGAUAAUAUCUCGUACCUUUUGCAUCAUGAUUUAGCCAGUGUUAACCCAAGCAAAAUGCACUUUAGUUUGAUAACCCGAAACUAAGUGAGCUACUCCAAGACAGCCUAAUUAAUAGGGCCAACCCGUCUCUGUGGCAAAAGAGUGGGAAGAGCUUCGAGUAGAGGUGAUAAACCUACCGAACUUAGUAAUAGCUGGUUGCCCAAGAAUUGGAUAGAAGUUCAGCCUCCCGGCUUCUUUAUUCCCCGACCCCCUACAUCUCUACAGAUAAUUUAAGAAACCAGGAGAGUUAGUCAAAGGGGGUACAGCCCCUUUGAAUUAAGAUACAACUUUUACAGGAGGAAAAAGAUCAUAGCUACUCAAGGCAGUUUGUUACGGUGGGCCUAAGAGCAGCCAUCCAAACAAAAAGCGUUAAAGCUCAGACACACUAACCUUUAAGCCCCAAGUCCAGAUCAUCAAUUCUUACUCCCCUAGUCCUACUGGGCCGUCCCAUGCAAGCAUGGGAGUGAUCCUGCUAAAAUGAGUAUAUAAGAGGACCCAACGACCCUCUCCCUGCACAUGUGUAAAUCGGAAACGGACAACCCACCGAACCUUAACGAACCCAAAUAAUAGAGGGAACUGAACCACAGAUUAAACAACCAGAAAAACACUCAAAUAAUUAACCGUUACCCCCACACAGGCGUGCUUCCUUAGGGAAAGACUAAAAGAAAGAGAAGGAACUCGGCAAACACACUCAGCCUCGCCUGUUUACCAAAAACAUCGCCUCUUGCCAAACCAAAAAUAUAAGAGGUCCCGCCUGCCCUGUGACUAUAUGUUUAACGGCCGCGGUAUUUUGACCGUGCGAAGGUAGCGCAAUCACUUGUCUCUUAAAUGGAGACCUGUAUGAAUGGCAUAACGAGGGCUUGACUGUCUCCUCUUUCAAGUCAAUGAAAUUGAUCUCCCCGUGCAGAAGCGGGGAUAUAACCAUAAGACGAGAAGACCCUAUGGAGCUUUAGACACUAAAGCAGAUCAUAAUUUACCACCUAGCCAAAAGGAAAAAAAUUAGAUGAAUCCUGCCCUAAUGUCUUUGGUUGGGGCGACCGCGGAGAAACAAAAAACCCCCGCAUGGACCAAAUGUACAACAUUUACAACCGAGAGCUACAGCUCUAACUAACAGAACUUCUGACCAACUAGAUCCGGCAAUGCCGAUCAAUGAACCGAGUUACCCUAGGGAUAACAGCGCAAUCUCCUCUUAGAGUCCAUAUCGACGAGGGGGUUUACGACCUCGAUGUUGGAUCAGGACAUCCUAAUGGUGCAGCCGCUAUUAAGGGUUCGUUUGUUCAACGAUUAAAGUCCUACGUGAUCUGAGUUCAGACCGGAGUAAUCCAGGUCGGUUUCUAUCUAUGACACGAUCUUUUCCAGUACGAAAGGACCGAAAAGAAGAGGCCCAUGUCAAAGACAUGCCUCACCCCUAACUAAUGAAAACAACUCAAACAGACAAAAGGGCGUAGAAACUACGCCCGAGAAAAAGGCAAAA
rnacentral:rRNA from 1 species